rnacentral:rRNA from 1 species
GCAAGUCGAACGGCAGCACAGKAGAGCUUGCUCUYWCGGGUGGCGAGUGGCGGACGGGUGAGGAAURCAUCGGAAUCUACUYUKUCGUGGGGGAUAACGUAGGGAAACUUACGCUAAUACCGCAUACGACCUACGGGUGAAAGCAGGGGAUCUUCGGACCUUGCGCGAUUGAAUGAGCCGAUGCCSGAUUAGCUAGUUGGCGGGGUAARRGCCCACCAAGGCGACGAUCSGUAGCUGGUCUGAGAGGAUGAUCAGCCACACUGGAACUGAGACACGGUCCAGACUCCUACGGGAGGCAGCAGUGGGGAAUAUUGGACAAUGGGCGCAAGCCUGAUCCAGCCAUACCGCGUGGGUGAAGAAGGCCUUCGGGUUGUAAAGCCCUUUUGUUGGGAAAGAAAWSCAKYYGGUUAAUACCCGRUUGKKCUGACGGUACCCAAAGAAUAAGCACCGGCUAACUUCGUGCCAGCAGCCGCGGUAAUACGAAGGGUGCAAGCGUUACUCGGAAUUACUGGGCGUAAAGCGUGCGUAGGUGGUYGUUUAAGUCYGUYGUGAAAGCCCUGGGCUCAACCUGGGAAYUGCRRUGGAWACUGGGCGACUAGAGUGUGGYAGAGGGUAGYGGAAUUCCUGGUGUAGCAGUGAAAUGCGUAGAGAUCAGGAGGA